CUAAAAUAUUUUGAAAAAGAUUCAUAAAAGAUUUUACAAAUAUAUUUUUAAAACAUUUAUAAAAUAUUUUACUGAUAGAGUAAUCUUUUGAAAGUCUCUUAACGCGGACAUUUUCACCUUAUAGAAAGAUUUGUUAGAAACCUUUUUGAAAGGUUUAAAGCUUUUCAAGAAAUGUUUUAGAAAGUUUUUAUGUUAUGUGGGUUGAAUGCCUUACUUGAAGACCUUACUUGAAGACCUUACUUGAAGAUCUUACUUGAAGAUCUUACUUGAAAAUCUUACUUGAAGAUCUCACUGGGGUUUUGGGGAUAAAACUUGGCCCUAUCGCAGUUAAUUACGCUAGUAACCGCGACAACACGCGUGUGCGUUCAGCCAAUCGUUUGAACGGAGAAUCCUUAAAAGAGGCCAGGACACAACGAAAAAAGGCUAGAGUGGAAGAUAAUGAGUAUUUUGAAGAAGCAGAAGGCAUACUGUAUGGUGCAGGCAUCGCAGAAUAAGAUCAACCGUUCUCAAAUUUCGAUGCCCACCAACAGCAUACCUACUUUUUGAGGAUUCACGUUUGUCAGCCAUUUUGAAUUUCAAAAUAUGUUAAAAACAAAAAAAUAAUUUUUCUCUCUUACUUCUAGAGUGUAUUUAGCAUACUCAACAACUUUCAUACGUAUAUGCAUCUUACUAAGCCUAAAAAAAAUUGUGAAAAUAGCCUUUUUUUUAGCGUAUAAA